AUCCCUACCCUCCUCCCCUGGCCUCCUUCACCUGUGGCUCCCACAGAAGGCUGGUGCUUGCUGCAGCUCCGUGUGCCUUACUUAACCACCCCUCCCUUCCCUGUUCCUACAAAAGAGGCUGCAUCUUUGUAUGUUAUAUGCAUAUAAGCUUAGUAAUGUUUUG